AUCAAUGGAACGGACCCACGUAUGUGGCAGUAAUUCCUUGGUUGGUUUGCGCAAGGUCUUUCGAUGCAUCAAGGCGUUGAAGGGUGGUUCGUGGAUGUAUGGUGUGGCGAGGAAAGGCAGCGUUUUGGGUUUUCUUUUUUGCUGACACGACCCCAGUGCUGAUUGGUGAUGGACAUGGGUACUUUGGAUCCCAAAGAGCUGACUCACCUUGAAAGAUAGAAGAAAUUGAAGCUGCAGAUGGGUCAGAAAGAAAUCAUCUUGAUGAUGGAGGGAGCAAGAACCUCUGAAACAUUGGUACAUUUCUACCAGAUUGCGUGACGUCACACCCCAGAAAACUGCCAUAUUCAUACUCACUGCCACGAGGCCCUCGAAUCGUACCAAACUAAUAAAUGCUGCCAUCAUAUCCUCGGAAGUGAACGUCACAGUUACCUGCUUUAGGUGUGUCUAAAUGGUGCAGACGAUGUUUCGCGUGACCCUGCUAGGUUUAGAGGACUGCCAUAACUGAAGAAGAGAGACUGUGUCAUCUGUGCAGGGAGAAGUUCUACAUUAUGCACUACACGGAUGGUCUCGUGUUCCAACCACCACCUACGUCACCUGGGCUGCAUUAGCAAGUUUCACAGGACCCAACAUUAGCAUCAUCUUCAAAUGGAAACCUCCGUAACACUUAUUACAUGCUGUAUAAUUAUGUUAAUGUUGGUACCAUUGUCUGUAAUCCAUCGUCUUCGUUUCUCUCGAGUACAGUGUUUUGGAAUCUGUACGUCUGUUAUCAGGCAAGAAAACUGGAGGAAACUUCCCACUCAGAUGGGCCCCUUGGAACGAGUGUUUCCACACGUGUUGCUUACCCACCACCCUGACGAUGGAGAGGACCUCUGAAAUAUUGGCAAAGAGCCUUGGCAUAACCAGUGCCGACUGGAGUCAGAAAUGUGAGGGCCUGGGAACUAACAGGAGCAGGGCAUGCCACACCUUGGCCAGCAGGAAGGAAAGGGACAUGAGAGGGAGAGGUCUGAGAAAGCAGCACCAGUGCCACAUCCGGCUGGACCAGUCAGAUAAAUCCGCUGUGGCCGUAACAUCCCAUACAGCAUUGCCAGUAAGCCAUUACCCUGCCCUUUUCAGGGCACACCACAUCCACUCACCUCCCAUAUGUCAGUUGAUAAUAUGGCAGGAACCUGAGGAGCCCUUAUGAGAGCCCCCCAUGUCCCCAGCUCCUAUUCGUUCCCAAUCCCCACUGCCAGUCUCCUAUAACUAAGUUUUUCCAUUACCCUGACGAUGGAGAGGACCUCUGAAGCAUUGGCAAACUUCAACCAGACUACAGGAGCUACAA